rnacentral:rRNA from 1 species
AUGAAAGGAGGCAAGGCGAUGGGCCCUGAUUGUAUCCCCAUUGAGGUGUGGAAAGGUCUCGGGGACAUAGCGAUAGUAUGGCUAACCAAGCUUUUCAACCUCAUUUUUCGGGCAAACAAGAUGCCAGAAGAAUGGAGACGGAGUAUAUUAGUACCAAUCUUCAAGAACAAGGGGGAUGUUCAGAGUUGUACUAAUUACCGUGGAAUUAAGCUGAUGAGCCAUACAAUGAAGCUAUGGGAGAGAGUCAUUGAGCACCGCUUAAGAAGAAUGACAAGCGUGACCAAAAAUCAGUUUGGUUUCAUGCCUGGGAGGUCGACCAUGGAAGCCAUUUUCUUGGUACGACAACUUAUGGAGAGAUAUAGGGAGCAUAAGAAGGACUUGCAUAUGGUGUUCAAUGACUUGGAGAAGGCCUAUGAUAAGAUACCGCGGAAUGUCAUGUGGUGGGCCUUGGAGAAACACAAAGUCCCAGCAAAGUACAUUACCCUCAUCAAGGACAUGUACAAUAAUGUUGUGACAAGUGUUCGAACAAGUGAUGUCGACACCGAUGACUUCCCGAUUAAGAUAGGACUGCAUCAGGGGUCAGUUUUGAGCCCUUAUCUUUUUGAUUGGUGA